GUCCCGCGGGGUCUGCGUUAACAGAAAGUUGGAAUCGGCCUCUGGUGCCGGGAAUGGAAUGGAGGCAAUCUGAUGAGGGGCGCAGGUAUUUAACUAGCGCUUUAUGGCGAGCCCAGACGGCCACCUGGGCAGUGCAUUUCAAACACAUGGUCCCAUUAAAGCCCCACUGGUGCCCCUAAAGAACGAGCCCCUUUCCCCUUCAGAGGAGAAAUAGUCUCAGGGACAGACCCACGACCGGACCCUGGCAGUGGCACUUGGGAGCCUCUUUGCCCUCCACAAUGCCAAGUCGCCUCUUGCAGGCCCUCGGAGGUGGGCAGGAGACAGAGAUCCAACUCCAAACCCUUUUUGGGAAAAACUGUCCCAGGGAAGGAACGUGUGCUGCUCAAGGUCACAUGGUAAAGGGGGGAGGGGCAGCCUCGGAGUCGCUGCGUGUGCUGCCUUCCCAGACCGAUCUGCUCAUCACCCUGCAAACUCCUAUCCAGCAGCCUGAACAUCUUUUUCGCGGGCCAGGGCAGGAAGAGCACUGGCACGGAGAAUCGCCCCAAUGGUCGUUCGGGGUUUGCUGAAGCCAGACAGCAGCAGGAGUCAGGCCAGGAAGGGUGUGGUGGCCCUCACCUCCACAGAAGCCAGAUGGAGGUGAGGCUGCACCCGGGCAGGCAGGCUGGGUAGGGGCUGGGCCGACGGGGCAGAGGCCAGGGCUGGGGCAGUUUGGACUUUGACCAUCCCAACUUCCUCAAGCUUCUGCAGGCCCCAGCCGGAGCUGGGAGAGGUUUCUUCCAGCUCGGUGGGGUCAGAGGCCAUGGGAAGACAGACACCUGUCGGGUCACCUGGCCGGUAGGGGCCAAAGCGGCUUGCAGGACCUGUCCUAACCACUGUCCCAGCCUGGGCAGCCUCAUUCCCCCCCUCUCCCGGCCGACCUCAGCACACUCUGAGCCCACAGCAGAGAAAGCCCUGGAGCCUGGACAUGCCCCCGGGUGUGGGUCCCUACGGAGGGAGUCGGCAGGGAGGGGCAGGCAGCUGGAUGCUCUCUUUCCCUCCUCCCCUGAGCCCUUCCAGCUCCUUCUCCUUUGCAGCUGUCGGGGAAGGAGAACAGAAGAAAAACACCAUUUCCCUCUUCAAACCAAAACAAACACACUCAGGGCUGCGAUUCAACAUGAAUCUGUGGAAUGCGGGGAUGAUGUCUGGUGGGAGAGCGCCCCUGCGGCUGGGAGGCGCAGUCCCAAUGGGGACAGCUCCUCUCUCUCAUCCACGCCCCUGCGCUCACGGGGUCAGAAGGAGCUUCUGGACAGCUCCGCACGGCCGCACGGCCGGACUCAGCCGUCGGCUCCCCGCUCCCCCUGCACCAGCCCGUCGGGCCGUUGAGCAGGCUAUCCCGUCUGGCUCUGCAGAGGGCGUGGCCCGCGUGGCCGCAGACUAAGUGCGAGGUGCGGGCUUAAAUGCAUGUGCUGUGGGUUCUCCCCGGGAGGAGGGGGAGGGGCACUAGGUGUGUUUAUCUUGUUUAUCCAGCUCCCAGCCCUGGAGAGAAGAGGCCAGCGCUAGGCACUCCGUUCACCCGCUGGCUGGGGGCUCAGGCAACAGGGACCACACUUCGGCUCGCAGAGAUCUGAAGGUUGGAGGGGCCGCGUCUAGACAGGUUCUGGCCAGGGUUGCUGCUUCUAGAAGGUGGAUGCGACUCUUGAAGACGAGUCCCUCCGUAGCGGGAACUGUGUGGCCAGAGCUGGCCCAGACUGCACCGGUUUCUCCUCCACUACUGCCUUCAGGGACUGGCCGGCAGAAUCUCAAAGGUCCACUCCUUCGCUCAGGCUGAGGCUGAGCCAGGGUGGGGUUGCUGGGCAGGAAGACAGCACCCCCAGCUUCUCACCAUCAUAGUAAGAGAAAUCCUAUCGAUUAAACACAUAUGCAGCGUGAACUGAGUGCUUUACAAAUAUGAAUAAAUUAAAGGCUCACAGCAAUCAUGGAGCUGUCCUUUGUGUUUCAAGAUGAGAAGGCUCAGGCUAAGGACCCUCAGCUAGGAAUCUAACCCCGUGUUUCGGCCCCUGGAACGCUGCUCAGGAGCACGCCUGCUAACUGAGCUCUGACAGACCUGGCCUCUCCUGCAGCCUGAGGCUCCCUGUAAGGAGUAGAAUACAGAACUGAGACUGAGGAGAUCAGAGUCAGAGCCUGGGACCUGGCCCAGCCUCGCUUUCCAGUUUGUGAAUCAUUUUUUGGGCAGACCCAUUUCAUCCGGCCAGCUUCCCAGGGAGGUCAGGAUCACCCUCUUCAUUUCCUUUCAAAGAAUGGAGCCCCAGGACAGUCCAAGGUCACACAGCUUAUGGGAGGCAGGGCUGGGAUGGAAACCACUGGCCACAGCACUGUCUCUAAGAGACAAACUCUGGGGCCAAUGCUGUGGUGUAGUAGGCUAAGCUUUCUACUGUGGCGCCAGCAUCCCACGUGGGCACUGGUUCGUGUCCCAGCUGCUCCACUUCCCAUCCAGCUCUCUGGUAUGGUCUGGGAAAGCAGAGGAAGAUGGCCCAAGUCCUUUGAUCCCUGCACCCGCGUGGGAGACCUGAAAAAAGCUCUCGGCUCCUGGCUUCUGAUCAACCCAGCUCCAGCGGUUGCCGCCAAUUGGGGAGUGAACCAGCGGAUGAUAGACCUUUCUCUCUGUCUGUAACAAUACCUCUCAAAUAAAUAAAUAAAAUCUUAAAAAGAGAGAGAGAGAGAGACAAACUCCAGGCAGAUGUUGAUCAACAACCAGACGUGUAAACAAAAGCAGCUGCGAUAACAGCUUUUUCUGUGGUGGUUGGGAAGAGGAUGCUUGUCCCCGACUGCCCUUAAGACAGUGUUUGUUCCCAAGCUGUGACUUCCAGAGCCACCCAGCCUCCCUCAUGGUCUGCCUUGUGGCCCAUGACAUCAGGGUAAGGAGACAUCCAGGCCAAGGCACAGGAAGCAGACCUAGAUAGAGGUUGACCAGAUGGCUUUCCCAUCCCUCCCUCCACCCCUGUUCCUUCUGCUACUUCCUGGACUUCCUAGUUUGUUCCUAAAGAAGGAGACACAGCCAGGAUCAGGAGGACAGGGGCCCAGGAUGGACACUCAGUGUGGGUAUAAGUCCUGCCACUCAGAGUCUUGUGAUGACAAAUGGGCUCCUUGCCAGGCCUUAUCUCUCUGGCCAUCCCAAACAGGAAUGACCAGCAUGUCCGAUUCAGGGAUGGGGGGGGGCAGGAAAGGGAUGAGGGAUGGUUUUCCACUCCAGGGGAGUGUCCAGAGGGAAUGUGGGGGCAGGAGCAGGGGAGACGGGGAGGAGGGGAGGGCCCGAGCUGAGGAAUGUGUAGGAGUGUCAGAUCUGGGAGCAUGGAAUGGGGGUGGGGGAGACACGGAGCCAGGAGGGGUCUGAGCUCGAGAGAUGAGGAGGGAACU